GGCCCAAAUUUGAAGUAAAGUCUAUUAGUACGAUCAUCUGACCAUACUGAUGUUCUCUACUUCAAGUUUGUGCCC
rfam:Haemonchus contortus, ISE/inbred ISE, WGS project CAVP01000000 data, contig: Hcontortus_contig_pathogens_Hcontortus_scaffold_2352